CCUACGGGUGGCAUCAGUCGAGAAUCAUUCACAAUGGGGGAAACCCUGAUGGUGCGACGCCGCGUGGGGGAAUGAAGGUCUUCGGAUUGUAAACCCCUGUCAUGUGGGAGCAAAUCAAAAAGAGAGUACCACAAGAGGAAGAGCCGGCUAACUCUGUGCCAGCAGCUGCGGUAAUACAGAGGUCUCAAGCGUUGUUCGGAAUCACUGGGCGUAAAGCGUGCGGAGGCUGUUUCGUAAGUCCUGUGUGAAAGGGGCGGGCUCAACCCGCGGACGGCACAUGAUACUGCGAGACUAGAGUAAUGGAGGGGGAACCGGAAUUCUCGGUGUAGCAGUGAAAUGCGUAGAUAUCGAGAGGAACUCUCGUGGCGAAGGCAGGUUCCUGGACAUUAACUGACGCUGAGGCACGAAGGCCAGGGGAGCGAAAGGGAUUAGAUACCCGGGUAGUC
rnacentral:rRNA from 1 species